rnacentral:rRNA from 1 species
GAUGAACGCUGGCGGCGUGCCUAAUACAUGCAAGUCGAGCGAACAGACGAUGAGCUUGCUCCUCUGACGUUAGCGGCGGACGGGUGUGUAACACGUGUAUAACCUACCUAUAAGACUGGUAUAACUUCGGGACACCGGAUCUAAUACCGGAUAAUAUAUUGAACCGCAUGGUUCAUUAGUGAAUGACGGUUUUGCUGUCUCUUAUAGAUGCAUCCCCGCCGCAUUAGCUAGUUGGUACGGUAACGGCUUACCAAGGCAACGAUGCGUAUCCGACGUGAGAGGGUGAUCGGACACACGGGAACUGAGACAGGGACCAGAGGACUACGGGAGGCAGCAGUAGGGAAUGGGCGGCAAUGGGGGAAAGCAUGACGGAGCAAGGCCGAGUGAGAGAAGAAGGAGUUCGGAGCGUAAAACUGGGUUAUUAGGGAAGAACAAAUGUGUAAGGAAAUAUGCAGGUAGUGACGGUAACUAAUAAGAAAGCAACGGCUAACUACGUG